UUACUUACCUGGACGGGGUCAACUCGUGAUCAAGAAGACGAGUGGCCUAGGCUAGUGACCUCCAUUGCACUUACGGGAGGGGCGCUUAGCUUAAGGUCUCCCCAAGUGGGAGAGCCUGCGUCAUUAUUUGUGGCAGAGGGAGCCUGCGUUCGCGCGGCUCCUAC
rfam:Brassica napus, WGS project CCCW01000000 data, contig: 12731